GACGAACGCCGGCGGCGUGCCUAAUACAUGCAAGUCGAGCGCAGGAAAUCGACGGAACCCUUCGGGGGGAAGUCGACGGAAUGAGCGGCGGACGGGUGAGUAACACGUAAAGAACCUGCCCUCAGGUCUGGGAUAACCACGAGAAAUCGGGGCUAAUACCGGAUGGGUCAUCGGACCGCAUGGUCCGAGGAUGAAAGGCGUUUCGGCGUCGCCUGGGGAUGGCUUUGCGGUGCAUUAGCUAGUUGGUGGGGUAAUGGCCCACCAAGGCGACGAUGCAUAGCCGACCUGCGAGGGUGAUCGGCCACACUGGGACUGAGAUACGGCCCAGACUCCUACGGGAGGCAGCAGUAGGGAAUCUUCCACGAUGGACGAAAGUCUGAUGGAGCCACGCCGCGUGAACGAUGAAGGCCUUCGGGUCGUAAAGUUCUGUUGUAAGGGAAGAACAAGUGCCGCAGGCAAUGGCGGCACCUUGACGGUACCUUGCGAGAAAGCCACGGCUAACUACGUGCCAGCCGCCGCGGUAA
rnacentral:rRNA from 1 species